GACAGAGGGUGCAACCGUUGUUCGGAAUUACUGGGCGUAAAGCGCGCGUAGGCGGGUUGGUAAGUCCGCUGUGAAAGCCCGGAGCUCAACUCCGGAGGGUCGGUGGAUACUGCCAGUCUUGAAGGUGCUAGGGGGAGAUGGAAUUACCGGUGUAGCGGUGAAAUGCGUAGAUAUCGGUAGGAACACCAGUGGCGAAGGCGGUCUCCUGGGGCAUUCUUGACGCUGAGGCGCGAAAGCUGGGGGAGCGAACGGG
rnacentral:rRNA from 1 species